rnacentral:rRNA from 1 species
GACGAACGCUGGCGGCGUGCCUAAUACAUGCAAGUUGAGCGAUGAAGAUUGGUGCUUGCACCAAUUUGAAGAGCAGCGAACGGGUGAGUAACGCGUGGGGAAUCUGCCUUUGAGCGGGGGACAACAUUUGGAAACGAAUGCUAAUACCGCAUAACAACUUUAAACAUAAGUUUUAAGUUUGAAAGAUGCAAUUGCAUCACUCAAAGAUGAUCCCGCGUUGUAUUAGCUAGUUGGUGAGGUAAAGGCUCACCAAGGCGAUGAUACAUAGCCGACCUGAGAGGGUGAUCGGCCACAUUGGGACUGAGACACGGCCCAAACUCUUACGGGAGGCAGCAGUAGGGAAUCUUCGGCAAUGGACGAAAGUCUGACCGAGCAACGCCGCGUGAGUGAAGAAGGUUUUCGGAUCGUAAAACUCUGUUGGUAGAGAAGAACGUUGGUGAGAGUGGAAAGCUCAUCAAGUGACGGUAACUACCCAGAAAGGGACGGCUAACUACGUG